rnacentral:antisense_RNA from 1 species
ACCAGCUCUCGCGACACUUUCCUUGGCCAUGGCGAGAGCACACGAGAAGAGACUCUCGCAAGAAAGUAAAUGAGUCAGGCUGGAAACAGCGAAGUAUAUCUCGCGAUAGCACUGUUUAAAAUGGCGGCCUCAAGGCGUUUCACGGGUGUCCCGGACAGGCGUGGAGGUGGGGCGCAGGCGAGGAUGAAGCUUGAGUUGGCCGGGAGUCGGAAAACGAUUGCAGGCGGGACCGCGUCCGUCGGGGCUGAGGAAACUUAGCGUGGCAGACCCUAAACUGGGAUAACUUUAGGGAUAUGGCCUUCUUUUCCCAAUUGCCUCAAACUUAGAGCAGCGUCGUCUUUAGCUGAAGAUUCAUUUUCCCAGCGUUUUCCUUCUCCAGGCGGAGUAGUUGGAGACAGAGGGCAAGCCAGAAACUGACCUUCCCAUCUCCUCAUUCCCUUCCAUCAAGAACUUUUCAUCGUUCUUUCCCCACCCUGGUUUGUAAAUGGUAUUUGGCUUCAUAAAAACGUUUGUCCACAGGUGCCCUGCUCCAUCAGUUCGCCCCAGCAAUAUAGGAAGUUACCAAAAGAAAAAAAUUUUUUAUUGACGUUGGAUGCAGAAAGGAACCGCGUUGGUGUGUGAUUUGAAUUUUGGACUUCUUGUUUCCUGCCCUGCGGCCACGUCCCCCUUACUUGGUGACUCUCAGCACUUAGUUGUGGGGCUUUUUCUCUCUGCUCUCAGACAACUAUAAAAGCAGACUAAUUGAACAGCAUCUAGAACAGAAGGUGGAUGUAAAGAACAUUGGUCGGCCGGGC